AUGCAGGGAACCGCGGGGACCGCAACCUGCCCGACGACGGCAGAGGAUCAGCGUCGCGGCAGCAGGUGCCCGCGUCGCCGCGCCUGUCGAGGGACCUCAGGGGCGCCGGGCAGCUGUCCCCUGGAAACCGGAGACGGGUCGCCGCGCCCGAGGGAAGGCGCUGACCGAGGGACCUACGGGGCGCAGAGGAGUUGUCCCCAGGGAACCCGAGUCGGACCGCCGCAUCCUCCCCGCUGCCCCAUCCGCCACCCUGAGAACCGCCCCUCCUGGGUGGCGGACACGCCCUCCCUGCGGGCCCAGGCCUCCUCGCCCCGCCCCCCCCCGAGCCCCUCCCCCCGCCCGGCCGCCCCCGCCGCUGCCGCCGCCGCCGCCGCCGCCGCCGCCGGCCCCUCGGGCCUCGCCCCUCACUCUGCCGCCGCCUCCCACAGCAGCGGCACCCCAACCGCCUCUGCCGGGUCGUGGGACCCGGAACCACUUCCUUCCGGAACCGCCUCGCCCCGCCCCCGCCCUGGCCCCGCCCACUGUUCGCGGCCUCGCGCUGAGCCCGUUCUCCAGCCGACCCCUAUCCUCUACUCUCCCGGCGAGGGUGCCCCGCCCGGGCUUCUCGGGCCAGAGCGCUGCGCCCCCUGCCGGCCGUUCCCACCGCUGCCGCUCUGUCCAGGGCGCCUGCGCCCUCUGCCACCCGCCUGCCGGGUCCGGCUAGAGCGCCUGCGCCCUCUGCCGCCCUCCUGCCGGAAAGGAGGGGACUUAAUGGGCGUUCCAGGUCCAGGGAUCCUGGGGGUUAAGGCCCAGGGAUUGGAGGUCACCCCUCAGUCACGGACAGAACUUGAUCCCGUGAGCCUUCUAGCUUUGUGCAGAUCUCUAACCAUUCACCUACCCUCUAUCCAUUUCCCACGCCUCAAAUUAAGCAUAUUCCCGGAAAACAAAGCCUCCCCGCUGAACUUCCCAAAUGGUCGGAUGGUACCAGCAUCUAUCCAUCAUCCAACUCAAAGGAUUGCCUCAUCUCUGUCUACUCGCUUGGUUUCUCCCCUCCCGCAGUCCAUGCACCAGCCUCAAAGAUAG
rnacentral:lncRNA from 1 species